UGGGGAAUUUUGGACAAUGGGCGAAAGCCUGAUCCAGCAAUGCCGCGUGUGUGAAGAAGGCCUUCGGGUUGUAAAGCACUUUUGUCCGGAAAGAAAUCCUUGGCUCUAAUACAGUCGGGGGAUGACGGUACCGGAAGAAUAAGCACCGGCUAACUACGUGCCAGCAGCCGCGGUAAUACGUAGGGUGCAAGCGUUAAUCGGAAUUACUGGGCGUAAAGCGUGCGCAGGCGGUUUGCUAAGACCGAUGUGAAAUCCCCGGGCUCAACCUGGGGAACUGCAUUGGUGACUGGCAGGCUAGAGUAUGGCAGAGGGGGGUAGAAUUCCACGUGUAGCAGUGAAAUGCGUAGAGAUGUGGAGGAAUACCGAUGGCGAAGGCAGCCCCCUGGGCCAAUACUGACGCUCAUGCACGAAAGCGUGGGGGAGCAAACAGGAUUAGAUACCCUGGUAGUCCACGCCCUAAACGAUGUCAACUAGUUGUUGGGGAUUCAUUUCCUUAGUAACGUAGCUAACGCGUGAAGUUGACCGCCUGGGGAGUACGGUCGCAAGAUUAAAACUCAAAUGAAUUGACGGGGUCAUAGCUGUUUCC
rnacentral:rRNA from 1 species